rnacentral:rRNA from 2 species
AAGCCCUCGGGUGGAACUGUGAGUAUACUUAGUGGCGGACGGGUGAGUAACGCGUGAGCAAUCUGCCCUGCAAUGGGGGACAACAGUUGGAAACGACUGCUAAUACCGCAUAAGACCACGAAACCGCAUGGUUUAGAGGUAAAAGGAUUCAUUCGAUGCAGGAUGAGCUCGCGUCCCAUUAGAUAGUUGGUGAGGUAACGGCCCACCAAGUCAACGAUGGGUAGCCGACCUGAGAGGGUGAUCGGCCACAUUGGAACUGAGAAACGGUCCAAACUCC